UACGUAGGGGGCAAGCGUUGUCCGGAAUUAUUGGGCGUAAAGAGCGCGUAGGCGGUCCGAUAAGUCGGCUGUGAAAGUCAGGGGCUCAACCCUUGAAAGCCGGCCGAUACUGUCGGACUAGAGUCCGGAAGAGGCAAGUGGAAUUCCGGGUGUAGUGGUGAAAUGCGUAGAGAUCCGGAGGAACACCAGUGGCGAAGGCGACACGCUGGGUCAUACCUGACGCUAAAACGCGACAGCAUGGGGAGCGAACGGG
rnacentral:rRNA from 1 species